AGCUGGGUGGCCUUGCAGGGUGGUCCCAAAUCGAGACAAGGCAGUCAGUCCUUCUUACCAAGGCACCAACUGGUUAUUGGAUGUGGGGCCUACCCUUGGCAAGGCAACUCCCUUUGGCCGGUGACAGAGCCCACAGAAAGACUCAGCUGUGAGCCAUCAGCCAUCAACAGUCCCAGAAGCUGCAGGAACGUUUGAUGUGUUUCUGGAGGGAAAUCUGAAUGGUGCUGAAGUCAAAAGGGACUUCCGGGCCUUUUUCAGCUGGUAAAACCUCAGACCCCCCAUGAUAUAUAGAAGAAACAUCCAAACAUGAGACGUUUAUAUGUUAAAACUUUUCUUGAGCGCUUUUCUCCAAAGGUCUCACAGACGUCCUGCCCAAUAUGGUGGCCACCAGACACAUGUAGUCACAGAGUCCUUGAAAUACGACUGGUCCAAAUUGAGGUGUGAUGUAAGGAUAGAAUACACUUUUCAAAGACUCCGUAUGGCAAAAAAGAUGUAGAGUGUCUCAUUAAUAAUCUUUUAAUAUUGAUUGCAUGUUGAAAUAAUUAUUUGGAAUACAUUGGCCCAAUUAUUAAUUAUGGCCCAACAUUAUUAGUGCUAAUAUUAAUACUAAUUUCACCUGUUCCUUUUUUUUUUAAUGUGCUGCUAAACAAUUGAAAAUUAACAUGUGUGGCUCCCAUUAGAGGUCCACUGGGCAGCGCUGUCACGCACGUUUCCUAACAGUCUGGAUGCUGGUUUCUCUCUGCAGUGGGAAGAAGUUUCUCUCCUCAUUUGAUGGCUGAUGCUGCUACAUAAUUUUGUUUGUCGGAUUCUUAGCUUCCUCGCAGAUGGGAAAGAAGAAAGACGUGGCUGUGUCAAGGGUGUGUGAAAGGAGGAGGUCGUGAUGUCCUGCAAAGAAAGCAAGUGGGCAGAGAUCCCACACUCAAAAUGGUUACUGUUGGAGCAGUCUUCAUAGCCACAAGAGCUCUCUGAGCGCGUGUUCCAGGGCAUUAUCUAAUUCAGUCCUCACAAAGUACAGCAAGAUGCUCUUUUCAUUUCUCUCAUCUUACAGGAGGGAGAAACCCAUCCCUCCAAACGCUGCCUGGCCCUGGGGGAUUGGAGGUGUUGACCCUGUCCCUUGGCCAGUUGCAUGUCUUUUAUAUUGAAAAACUGAUUGGAACGAAAUGAGUUGGGUUCCGAUCUAGAUCUUAGUUCAAGGACCAGGAUGGAACUUUUUAAUCAGAUGCGUUUACACGGUGAUUUAAAUACUUACUUCGACCUGAUUUGAUCCCUGGCAUGGAAGAUUCCAUUUAAGGUUUUCUUCUGACAGAAGAAAAAGCAUCCCCACUUUCCAGUUCCCAAAUAUUUCCACAUAGUAUCAACUUAUUGAAAGGAAAUACAUAUUCUUUCUAUGCUUAUGGCUCUGAGAAGCUUAAUUAUUAACUCAGAAAGUGACCGUGUUGCUUAAAGGGAAAGAUGUGGCCUCUGGGCGUAAUCAGACCUGGGUUCAAAUCCAAACCCUACUGUUUAUGGGUUUUAUCUUCAGCCCUCAUUUAUCUUCCAAGAAGUUGGGUUUCCUCUUCUGGCAAAUAGGGAUAAUCACUAUCUUGCAACAGUUGCAACAGCGUGAGGCUCAGAUUAACUAACUAUGGUAGCAUUUUAUCCAUCAUAAAGCUUACAUGUUUCUUCCCUGACGAAUCCCAGUGAUUAAGAGGAAGUAUGGUAUAAUGGCUCCAAUUCUGAAGGACCACAGGAGAAAGAAGGUAACACUGCCUAAGUAUCUCCUGGCGUCCUGCACUUCACCUUAGUGCAUCAAGUUCUCUAUAAUAACCCCGCCAGACAGUGAACUACUAGAGAUCAAGGACCUUGUCUCAUUGCCUUUCUGCCUCUGACCGGAACGAAGAUGAAUCAUCUGGAUGUUACAAAGAAAAUGAGACCAGUUCCGGGGAUGUCAGCAAUAACUAAGACGACCUCAUGAGCAUUCACUGUAGAGCCCUGCCCACAUUCUUGCGGACAUUGCUGAGCACUGUCUGAGGAGUCACACAGCGAUGAAGAGCAGCUUCGAAAGGUCUAGACUCCACUGCUGGCUUGUCUGUUUCAUGGCUCUCAUCAUAGUGGGCAGAUCAAGACGGAACCAGGCAAGAUCCUCCACUUUGAAAGUGUUUCAUUUGGGGAGCUGCACAGGAAGUUAUUGAUUGUGUGUUGCUUUCUUUGCAAAGAUUUCUGCACCAGGAAAUAGGUCAAAAGCCAAGGAGUCAUCCUGGGGGCCUCACUUUCUUUCAACCCCUAUGUGCAAUCCACCAGAAAAUGUGCCAACUCUACCAUGACAGAAAUGGCCAAUUGGACACUAAGGAUCUGAGUUCCCGUCCCAUAGCGUAGAACUGUUGCCCAGAAGUGGCUGCCCACACAGGGAUUGCCUUUCUUAGCUCCCCAUCAUUCAGGUGAGGCCAUGUGACUGGUUCUCACCAAUGGGAUAUAGGGGACGUGAUCUGUGCUUAGGCCCACGAAGAAACAUGUGUGCCCUCUCCAUGUUCUCUUUCUCCAUCUGCUGGAUGAAGAAGAUCCUGCAAAGGAUUCUGAGGUCCUGGGGCUGGCAGAGCCACAAGACUGAGGGAUCCUGGGUUCCUGAGUCAACACUUGCCGGACAGCCACUGGCUCUUCUAGAACACCUGUUUGGACUUUAUGUGAAAAGCCACCAAGCUUUUGGGGUCAACUCUUGCAGUAGCUGACAUUGCUUUAACUGAUACAUCUACCACCAAAACACACCUCAAAUUUGUUCACCUGGCUUCCUUCACCUCUUGUUUUGUUUUUGAACUGCCAUCCUCUCUCAUUUGAAAGAUUAUGAAAGUCUCCUACCUUAUCUCCUUGCCUCUAUCUCCCUGCCAGCUACAGAUUGGGUGUUUGCCCCCUGCAGAUUCAUAUGCUGAAGCCCAGUCCCCAUGUGAUGGUGUUAGGAGGUGGGGGCCUUUGGAAGGUGAUCAGGUCACGAGAGUGGAGCCCUCCUGAAUGGGUUUAGUGCCCUUAUACAAGACCCCAGAGAGCCCCUCUGCCCCUUCCACCAUGUGAGAACACAGCAGAAAGAUGCCCACCUAAGAACGAGGAAGUUGGCUCUCACCAGACACCAAAUAUAUACAGGACACCUUGAUCUCGGACUUCCCAGCUUUCAGAACUGAGAGAAAUAAAUGUUUGUUGUUUAAGCUCCCCCAUCCAUGGUAUUUUUGUUAUACAACCCAAACGGACUAAGACAUCCCCAUAGCCUAUUGUCCACAGCCAUUGGAGAGGUCUUUUAAGAACUCAAAGCUGUGUUACCUCUUUCCCCAAACCCCCUCAAAUGGCUUCCUUUUACAUGCAGAAUAAAGUCUGAACUCCUCGUUAUAGCCUGUCUACUUCCCCAACUGUAUCUCAAAUGUCUUUCUCCCUCACUGAUUAUGUGUGGUCCAACCACCUUGGCCUUCACACGGUUCUUCAAACAUGGCAGACCUGCUCCUGUCCCAGAGACUUCACACUUGCUAUUUUUCCUGUCUGGAAAUCCUCCCCCCAGAUUGUGGCAUGACUGGUUCCUCGUUAUCAUUCAGUUCUCAACCCAAACGUCACCUCCUCACAGAAGCCUUCCCCGAUCAUGCUGUCAGACUGAGGCCAUUCUGUGGCUACCACCAGUCAUUCUCUAUUUCAUGUCCCUGUUGUAUUUUUUCAUUGCUCUUACUACUAUCCUUAACUCUUUUAGGGUAACUUAUGUGACUUAAAUUAUGUUUCCUGGCUAAUUGUCUCUCUUCUCACCUCCUCCCCAACACCUCCCCAUUAGAGUAUAAGCUCCUUCAGGGCAGGACCUUGUCUGUUUUAUUGAUAGCCCCAGCUUCCACAUCUAGAAUGGUAAAUGGCAAACAGAAAGUGCUCUAGACGAUAGGAAGGCAGGGAGGGAAGGAGAAUGGGAAGUCAGAAGGAGGAAGGGGGGGGAGGAAGAACUGCCCUAAUUAGAUCAAGGCCCCUCACAGUGCAACCCCAGGGUCCACACCAAGUUCCUGGAGAUGGGGGAGCAGUGGGAUGGGGGAAAACAGAUGGAAGGCAGGCUGAGAAGCACUAUGGCUUCUGAAGCAGCCUCAAGGUUAUAGACAUGACAUUACCUACCACCCUAAGGCAUCAGCUUACUGUUCUCUGCAAAGCUCCCUCUCUGGAAGGGAAAAAAACACCCUUUUCCUUCUUUUUUUCUCUCUGUGCAGAAACCUCAUCUAUUCUGGACCCAAACCCAUUUCCCCUACUGCCAAUAAGCACUGGAAAGAUUAUGGGGCCUCCUCAUAGAUGUAAUUCAGAAGC